GACGAACGCUGGCGGCGUGCUUAACACAUGCAAGUCGAACGCUGAACCCGCUUCGGUGGGGGAUGAGUGGCGAACGGGUGAGUAACACGUGGGCAACCUGCCCCCGGCUCUGGGAUAACUCCAAGAAAUUGGGGCUAAUACCGGAUGUGACCGCUGGCCGCAUGGUCUGGUGGUGGAAAGGGUUUCCGGCUGGGGAUGGGCCCGCGGCCUAUCGGCUUGUUGGUGGGGUAGUGGCCUACCAAGGCGACGACGGGUAGCCGGCCUGAGAGGGUGACCGGCCACACUGGGACUGAGACACGGCCCAGACUCCUACGGGAGGCAGCAGUGGGGAAUAUUGCGCAAUGGGCGGAAGCCUGACGCAGCGACGCCGCGUGGGGGAUGACGGCCUUCGGGUUGUAAACCUCUUUCAGCAGGGACGAAGCGCAAGUGACGGUACCUGCAGAAGAAGCACCGGCCAACUACGUG
rnacentral:rRNA from 1 species